rnacentral:rRNA from 1 species
UGUCCCUACGGGGCGCAGCAGUAGGGAAUCUUCGGCAAUGGGCGAAAGCCUGACCGAGCAACGCCGCGUGAAUGAAGAAGGCCUUCGGGUUGUAAAAUUCUGUUAUAAGGGAAGAAAGGUGAUAGGAGGAAAUGACUAUCAAUUGACGGUACCUUAUGAAUAAGCAUCGGCUAACUCCGUGCCAGCAGCCGCGGUAAUACGGAGGAUGCGAGCGUUAUCCGGAUUUAUUGGGUUUAAAGGGUGCGUAGGCGGUUUUUUAAGUUAGGGUUUAAACGUCGGGGCUUCACC